UACGUAGGGGGCAAGCGUUGUCCGGAAUCAUUGGGCGUAAAGCGCGUGUAGGCGGCUCGGUAAGUCUGCUGUGAAAGUCCAGGGCUCAACCCUGGGAUGCCGGUGGAUACUGUCGAGCUCGAGUCCGGAAGAGGCGAGUGGAAUUCCCGGUGUAGCGGUGAAAUGCGCAGAUAUCGGGAGGAACACCAAUGGCGAAGGCAGCUCGCUGGGACGUUACUGACGCUGAGACGCGAAAGCGUGGGGAGCAAACAGG
rnacentral:rRNA from 1 species